rnacentral:rRNA from 1 species
GAUGAACGCUGGCGGCGUGCCUAAUACAUGCAAGUCGAGCGGAUGAUGGAGGAGCUUGCUCCUCCUGAUUCAGCGGCGGACGGGUGAGUAACACGUGGGCAACCUGCCCUGUAGAUUGGGAUAACUCCGGGAAACCGGGGCUAAUACCGAAUAAUCCACCGGACCUCAUGGUCUGGUGUUGAAAGACGGCAUCUCGCUGUCACUACAGGAUGGGCCCGCGGCGCAUUAGCUAGUUGGUGAGGUAACGGCGCACCAAGGCCACGAUGCGUAGCCGACAUGAAGGGGUGAUGGGCCAGACUGGGACGGAGACACGGCCCAGACUCCGACGGGAGGCAGCAGUAGGGAAUCUUCCACAAUGGACGAAAGUCUGAUAGAGCAACGCCGCGUGAGUGAAGAAGGUUCUCGGAUCGUAAAACUCUGUUGUGAGGGAAGAACAAGUACCGGAGUAACUGCCGGUACCUUGACGGUACCUCAUUAGAAAGCCACGGCUAACUACGUGCCAGCCGCCGCCGUAACAC